ensembl:lncRNA
CUGAAUGGUUGCUGGUAACCAGCAGAAAGACCUCAGCUGGAGCCUGGGACUGCAACACGGAGGGUGCUCAAGAAACAAAAGAAGGGAGUUAUUCUUCACUGAGUGAGGGCUACAACAGCACAGACUCUGAGAAUGAAUCCAACGCAUCCCAGAGGAGGAAGGGGUUAUCACCAGGCCAGGCUGUGUCCCCAGUGCAGGCUGUAUUGCGGCUGCUCGGAGGAGACGUCACCUCGCCAGGACCCGAGCUGAUUAUCUUCCCUUGGAUGCUUCAAAUGAUCGUCAGCUUUCUCGGAGAAGAGAAGGCGGUGAUUCAGAGGAUGAGGACGAGCCUGAUAGGAAUCGUCUCCAUUUUGUUCCUAAAAAGAGAACUCUUAGGCGUAGGAUGGCUGAACGCGUGGGUGAGUUGGUGCCUUUUCUCCCAGAGAGAGGCUGUGUCUUUUACUGAUGGAUGUCCGGAAGAAUGUGAGACUUGCCCAGUGAAGAGUGCAGUACAAAGUUGUGCUCUUGGUCUUGACAAAAGACCAUAAUGCUUGGUGGUCCUUGAGGUUUACGUGGGAUGUUCCUGCUCUCCACACACUGACAUUACGACUGUUAUGGGAAAGAGGUAAAAACAAACCAACAAACAAAAAGCAACCAACCAGAGCCAGCCAGCCCUUUGGAAGUAAGCAGACUUACUGCAUGCCAAGCGUAUGUGGCUUUUCGGUUGCUCCUUAACUCAUCUUGCUGUUUGCAGUUUCACUUACAAAGCACUGGUUUGCCAGGCUUGUAGGCCAAUUGCUUUAUUAUUUGGAUAAUAGUUGUAAGUAAUAUGCAGGUAUGGUCCGACUCUAUUGUUG